GAUGAACGCUGGCGGCGUGCUUAACACAUGCAAGUCGAACGAAGCACUUUUACAGAUUUCUUCGGAAUGAAGUUUUAGUGACUGAGUGGCGGACGGGCGAGUAACGCGUGGGUAACCUGCCUCACACAGGGGGAUAACAGUUGGAAACGACUGCUAAUACCGCAUAAGCGCACAGUACCGCAUGGUACGGUGUGAAAAACUCCGGUGGUGUGAGAUGGACCCGCGUCUGAUUAGCUAGUUGGCAGGGCAACGGCCUACCAAGGCGACGAUCAGGAGCCGACCUGAGAGGGUGACCGGCCACAGUGGGACUGAGACACGGCCCAAACUCCUACGGGAGGCAGCAGUGGGGAAUAUCGCACAAUGGGGGAAACCCUGAUGCAGCGACGCCGCGUGAGCGAAGAAGUAUUUCGGUAUGUAAAGCUCUAUCAGCAGGGAAGAAGAAAUGACGGUACCUGACUAAGAAGCACCGGCUAAAUACGUGCCAGCCGCCGCGGUAA
rnacentral:rRNA from 1 species